CAGAGGGCGCAAGCGUUGUUCGGAAUUACUGGGCGUAAAGCGCGCGCAGGCGGAACGUGCAAAUCCGGAGUGAAAUCUCGCCGCUCAACGGCGGGGCUGCUCUGGAGACUGUCGAUCUGGAGACCGGUAGAGGCUGGUAGAAUUGCAGGUGUAGCGGUGGAAUGCGUAGAGAUCUGCAAGAAUACCCGUGGCGAAGGCGGCCAGCUGGGCCGGUUCUGACGCUGAGGCGCGAAAGCGUGGGGAGCAAACAGGAUUAGAUACCCUGGUAGUCCACGCCGUAAACGAUGGGCACUAGGUGCCGGGGGGAGCGACCCCUUCGGUGCCGCAGCUAACGCGCUAAGUGCCCCGCCUGGGGAGUACGGCCGCAAGGCUG
rnacentral:rRNA from 1 species